rnacentral:lncRNA from 1 species
AUCCCAGCCUGCUCUGAGUAGCCAUGAUGGAAGGCCUGUUGGCCUGGGUGCUGGCCCUAUAGUCUCUUAUCACCCUAGCCCCAGUCCUGUCCCUAGUACAGCCAGCAGUGCACCAGGGAGAACUCGCCAGGUAACUGGAGAGAUGACUCCCCCACUCCAUGGACACCGUGCCCGAAUCCGGAAGAAAACCAAGGCUCUUCCACAUAGAAGGGAACACAGUCCUGGGGACUUGCCCCCACCACCCUUGCCACCACCAGAGGAAGAGACGAGCUGGCCCUUGGGUCUGAGAGCAGCAGGCAGCAUGUCUUCCCUAGAGCGAGAGCACAGUGGGGAGAGGAGAGUGGCCCAGGCAGUGCCUCUAGGGGCCCAACCUCCAGGGGCCCAACGUGGCCCCCACCCUGAUGCUGCACUUCUGGGUUGUGCUGCAGAAGAGGCCUGGCUUCCAUACGGCAGACCAAGCUUCCUGAGCCAUGGCCAGGGCACCAGCACCUGCUCUACCGCUGGUAGCAAUUCUUCUAGGGGUUCCAACAGCUCUCGAGGUUCUCGGGGCUCUCGGGGCCCUGGACGCAGCCGAAGCCGGAGCCAGAGUCAGAGCCAGAGGCCGGGACGGAAUCGCCGACAGGAACCAAGAUGACCCUUCCUGAAGCAACGAGCAUAUUGAAAGUGCCACAGGGCAAGAAUGGGGACCCCUUCCCUGGUCAGCAUACAUGAGUCACGAGGAGCAAGGAUGGACCACCUUUCCUCCCGGCAGUGAUGCUCGUGACUCACUGAAGCACAAGGUCUCAACAGUUCUAGUUGCUAUGGGAACCGGAGGAGCAGCUCUUCCCUUUCCAUCCCUUUAUGACUGAGACAUGUCUGUACAAAAGGAGAAAAGAAAAAGCCUCUGCUCUGA